GAGGAAUAUUGGUCAAUGGGGGCAACCCUGAACCAGCCAAGUCGCGUGAAGGAUGAAGGUCUUAUGGAUUGUAAACUUCUUUUAUACGGGAAUAAAGUGGGGGACGUGUCCCCCUUUGCAUGUACAGUAUGAAUAAGGAUCGGCUAACUCCGUGCCAGCAGCCGCGGUAAUACGGAGGAUCCGAGCGUUAUCCGGAUUUAUUGGGUUUAAAGGGUGCGCAGGCGGGAUGUUAAGUCGGCGGUGAAAUUUUGCAGCUCAACUGUAAAAGUGCCUUCGAUACUGGCCUCCUUGAGUGUGGAUGAAGUAGGCGGAAUUUGUGGUGUAGCGGUGAAAUGCUUAGAUAUCACGAGGAACUCCGAUUGCGCAGGCAGCUUACUAAACCACAACUGACGCUCAUGCACGAAGGCGUGGGGAUCAAAC
rnacentral:rRNA from 1 species